rnacentral:rRNA from 1 species
UAACACAUGCAAGUCGAACGGAGUUUAACGCUGAUGAAGCUUCGGCAGAAUCUUGUUAAACUUAGUGGCGGACGGGUGAGUAACGCGUGGGUAACCUGCCUCAUACAGGGGGAUAGCAGUUGGAAACGACUGAUAACACCGCAUAAGCGCACAGUAUCGCAUGAUACAGUGUGAAAAUAUUUAUAGGUAUGAGAUGGACCCGCGUCUGAUUAGCUAGUUGGUGAGGUAACGGCCCACCAAGGCGACGAUCAGUAGCCGGCCUGAGAGGGCGGACGGCCACAUUGGGAGUGAGACACGGCCCAAACUCCUACGGGAGGCAGCAGUGGGGGAUAUUGCACAAUGGGCGAAAGCCUGAUGCAGCGACGCCGCGUGAGUGAAGAAGUAUUUCGGUAUGUAAAGCUCUAUCAGCAGGGAAGAAAGACCUCGUAAGAGGGGAUGACGGUACCUGAGUAAGAAGCCCCGGCUAACUACGUGCCAGCAGCCGCGGUAAUACGUAGGGGGCAAGCGUUAUCCGGAUUUACUGGGUGUAAAGGGAGCGUAGACGGUGUAUCAAGUCUGAAGUGAAACCCCACGGCUCAACCGUGGGCUUGCUUUGGAAACUGGUAGACUAGAGUACUGGAGAGGUAAGCGGAAUUCCUGGUGUAGUAGUGAAAUGCGUAGAUAUCAGGAAGAACAUCAGUGGCGAAGGCGGC